GACGAACGCUGGCGGCGUGCUUAACACAUGCAAGUCGAACGGUGAAGCGCCUUCCUUUUUGGUGGGUGUGGAUGAGUGGCGAACGGGUGAGUAACACGUGAGUAACCUGCCCCCUUCUUCUGGAUAACCGCAUGAAAGUGUGGCUAAUACGGGAUAUUCUGGGUCUGUCGCAUGAUGGGUCUGGGAAAGAUAUUGUUUCGGUGGGGGAUGGGCUCGCGGCCUAUCAGCUUGUUGGUGUGGUGAUGGCCUACCAAGGCGGUGACGGGUAGCCGGCCUGAGAGGGUGGACGGUCACACUGGGACUGAGACACGGCCCAGACUCCUACGGGAGGCAGCAGUGGGGAAUAUUGCACAAUGGGCGCAAGCCUGAUGCAGCGACGCCGCGUGAGGGAUGGAGGCCUGCGGGUUGUGAACCUCUUUCGCCAGUGAAGCAGGCCUGCCUCGUUUGUGGGUGGGUUGACGGUAGCUGGAUAAGAAGCGCCGGCUAACUACGUG
rnacentral:rRNA from 1 species